rnacentral:rRNA from 1 species
CCUACGGGUGGCUGCAGUGAGGAAUAUUGGUCAAUGGGCGGGAGCCUGAACCAGCCAAGUCGCGUGAGGGACGACGGUCCUAUGGAUUGUAAACCUCUUUUGUCGGGGAACAAAGGCGCCCACGGGUGGGCGGAUGAGUGUACCCGAAGAAAAAGCAUCGGCUAACUCAGUGCCAGCAGCCGCGGUAAUAAGGAGGAUGGGAGCGUUAUCCGGAUUUAUUGGGGUUAAAGGGUGUGUAAGCGGACAGUCAAGUCAGCGGUAAAAAUGCGGUGAUCAACGGCGUACAGCCGUUGAAACUGGCAGUCUUGAGUGUGCGGGAAGUAUGCGGGAUGCGUGGUGU